AUCAUUAGUCCUAGUGUAAGGCAAGCUUUAAAAACGUAAUUACUUAAUCAUGCAGUUAGCUUCCCAUCAAUCCUAGCAGCAUUUGUUCUUAACUAGCUUUUAAGAACAAAAUUAGGAGUAAUUUGUAAACAAAAGUAAUUGAAGAAAGGCAGAUAUUGCCAAGGUGUUGACAGCAUUAACAGACAUUAUUGUUUCCCUUAAUACCACCACAGCACUGCAGUUAACAAUAGGUAGCUGGCAAAAGGCAGAGCUUGGGAAUUAGUAAAAGGCCACCUGAAGAAGUGCAGCAGUAGGCAAAGUGGUCCUUCCACUGGCCCUACAGACAUCCAACUCUAACAGGUAGGUUGAGUCUCUGCUGCUAAACUGAUUUGUAUUUCAUGCAACCUACAAAUUUGAUGAUUUUGUAGGUUGGUGUGAUUUAACAUUUUUAGUAUGACCAUGAAAUUCUCUCAUCUUAUUUUUUAUAUCUUCUUUUUAGAACCCAGAAAUUUUUCCCAGGAGGGUGCCAUCAUAUUUACAGGAACCAUAGAUGUACAACUUCCAUUUGGCAAGAACCACUUAGGUAGAAUCCAGUCGAAUUCAACAGGAGUGCUGAACCUGGAAUCAGAAUACCCAAGUUUGAUUCUGCCUCUGAAGUCUUCUACUGUGACUUUAAGUAAGUCAUGAAAACUCAGUGAGUUUCAAUGGCCCCAUCUGCAAAAAUUCGUAUCUUGGUACCUUUAGCACAAUCUGUUGCCAUAAGAAUCUAGUGAUGUUUAGGAACGCUAUUGAUUUUUGCACAUUAAUUUUGUAUCCUGAGACUUUGCUGAAGUCGCUUAUCAACUUAAGAAGCUUUUGGACUGAGACGAUGGGGUUUUCUAGAUGUAGGAUCAUGUCAUCUGCAAAUGAAGAUAGUUUGACUUCCUCUCUUCCUAUUUGAAUACCAUUUCUUUCUUCUGUUGCCUGAUUGCUCUGGGCAGAAUUUCCAGUAUUAUGUUGAAUAGGGGUGGGGAGCGAGGGCAACCUUGUUUUGUUCUGAUUUUCAAGGGGAAUGCUUCCAGCUUUUGACCAUUCAGUAUGCUAUUGGGUGGGUUUGUCAUGUAUGGC
rnacentral:lncRNA from 1 species